AUGGGUCGCCUUGAUUCGGAGGCGCCGACGUCGAGCAUCGCCGCGGGGCUAGCUGCUCUCCAAGACCACGCCGAUGGACACGGGGGAGGCGCGGCGGCGCCGUCGGGUCCAGGCUCGGCCUUCGACACCAACGUGGUGAUCAUCCUCGCCGCGCUCUUCUUCGCUCUGCUGUUCGCCAUCGGGCUCAACUCGCUGGCGCGGUGCGCGCUCCGGUACGUGGGGAUUGGAACCGCGGUCGCAGCCGGCCAGCCCGGGGCGACGGCGCGGGUGGCCUGCAGCGGCGGCGGCAUCAAGAGGCGCGUGCUCAGGAGCCUCCCCGUGGAAGUGUACGGCUCCGGGGAGGACAUCGACGACGUGUGCGCCAUAUGCCUCGGCGAGUUCGUCGACGGCGAGAAGGUGCGCGUGCUGCCGCAGUGCGGCCACGGGUUCCACGUCCGGUGCGUCGACGCAUGGCUGGUGUCCCACAGCUCGUGUCCGACGUGCAGGCGGCCGGUGAUCGACGGCUCUCCCGCGAAGGGCGACGACGGCGGCAGCCAGUGCCCCGCAGAGAACAGCACGAUCACUGUGGUCAUCGUGUGA
rnacentral:rRNA from 1 species